GAGUUUGAUCAUGGCUCAGAACGACGCUGGCGGCAGGCUUAACACAUGCAAGUCGAACGGGUGCAGCAAUGCAUCAGUGGCAGACGGGUGAGUAACACGUGGGAACCUUCCUAGGGGUACGGAACAACUCAGGGAAACUUGAGCUAAUACCGUAUACGUCCGUGAGGAGAAAGAUUCAUCGCCCUUAGACGGGCCCGCGUCGGAUUAGCUAGUUGGUGGGGUAACGGCCUACCAAGGCGACGAUCCGUAGCUGAUCUUAGAGGAUGAUCAGCCACACUGGGACUGAGACACGGCCCAGACUCCUACGGGAGGCAGCAGUGGGGAAUCUUGGACAAUGGCGCAAGCCUGAUCCAGCCAUGCCGCGUGAGUGAAGAAGGUCUUCGGAUUGUAAAGCUCUUUGCCAGGGGCGAUAAUGACGGUACCUGGAGAAUAAGCCCCGGCAAACUUCGUG
rnacentral:rRNA from 1 species